GACGAACGCUGGCGGCGUGCUUAACACAUGCAAGUCGAACGAAGUGGCGAACGGGUGAGUAACGCGUAAUCAACCUGCCCUUCAGCGGGGGACAACAGUUGGAAACGACUGCUAAUACCGCAUACUGAAGGGGGGGAUUGCGUCUGAUUAGCUAGUUGGAGGGGUAACGGCCAACCCAGGCGAUGAUCAGUAGGCGGUCUGGGAGGAGGAACGGCCACAAUUGGACGGAUGCACGGCCCAGACUACUACGGGAGGCAGCAGUGGGGAAACUUCCGCAAAGGACGAAAGGCUGACGGAGCAACGCCGCGUGAGUGAUGACGGGCUUCGGGUUGUAAAGCUCUGUUAAUCGGGACGCGGUACCGGAAUAGAAAGCCACGGCUAACUACGUGCCAGCAGCCGCGGUAAUUC
rnacentral:rRNA from 1 species